rnacentral:rRNA from 1 species
AAGGAUCAUUAAUAAACGGCGAAAGCUCGAAAGAGUCUAGCUUUAUAUUAUUCCAUAACACCUGUGAACUAUUUGCCUUCUUGUCAUGAGAAGGUACAACCUAUACAAACAUAACUGUAACGAAUGUAAUCUAUUAUAACAUAAUACAACUUUCAACAACGGAUCUCUUGGCUCUCGCAUCGAUGAAGAACGCAGCGAAAUGCGAUAAGUAAUGUGAAUUGCAGAAUUCAGUGAAUCAUCGAAUCUUUGAACGCAACUUGCGCCCUUUGGUAUUCCGAAGGGCAUGCCUGUUUGAGUGUCAUAUAAACCUCACCUCUACUGUUUUUCAUUAAACAUGUGGAUUGGUGCUUUGGGCGUCUGCCGUUUACUCUGGCUCGCCUUAAAUGUCUAAGUGGAAUGCGUAAUAAGUCUUCGCAACCCUCCACUCUAAUACAAACUUUUUAUAUUCUGACCUCAAAUCAGGUAGGACUACCCGCUGAACUUAA